UACGUAGGGGGCAAGCGUUGUCCGGAAUCAUUGGGCGUAAAGCGCGUGUAGGCGGCCAGGUAAGUCCGUUCUGAAAGCCCGGGGCUCAACCCCGGGAGGCGGAUGGAUACUGCUUGGCUCGAGUCCGGAAGAGGUGAGUGGAAUUCCCGGUGUAGCGGUGAAAUGCGCAGAUAUCGGGAGGAACACCUAUGGCGAAGGCAGCUCGCUGGGACGUUACUGACGCUGAGACGCGAAAGCGUGGGGAGCAAACAGG
rnacentral:rRNA from 1 species